UCAGAAGUAGCGCAGUGGUAGCGCAGUUGACUGUUAAUCAAUUGGUCGUGGGUUCAAAUCCCACCUUCUGAGCCA
rnacentral:tRNA from 1 species